AGGACAUGGCCCUUGAUAGGAAAGUGUGGAGGUCUAGUAUCAGGGUUGUAGGAUAGGUGCCCAUAGAGUUUUUCGUACUACUCACCCGGGGCUGGGUGAGACUUGACAGGGCUAUCCAUAGAUGUUUUGUGUUUUGGUUUGUGUCUCCCUUAUGGUAGUUACUAUAUGAUAUUAUUGCAUGCUAUUUUAUUUAUGGUUCUUAUGUUUAGAUAAUUAUUUAUGUUAUUUCUGCUAGACUUACUAAUGCUCUUUUGUUUUCGUUUUUGUUUUUCCUCUCCUUCACUGAGCCGGGGGUCGAUUGGAAACAGCAUCUCU
rnacentral:lncRNA from 1 species